rnacentral:rRNA from 1 species
AGAGUUUGAUCCUGGCUCAGGACGAACGCUGGCGGUGUGCUUCACACAUGCAAGUCGAACGAGGUAGCAAUACCUAGUGGCGGACGGGUGAGUAACGCGUGGGAAUCUGCCUUUAGAUGGGGGAUAACGAGCCGAAAGGUUCGCUAAUACCGCAUAUGCCGCAAGGUGAAAGGAGUAAUCCGUCUAAAGAUGAGCCCGCGUCCGAUUAGCUAGUUGGUGGGGUAAAGGCCUACCAAGGCGACGAUCGGUAGCUGGUCUGAGAGGAUGAUCAGCCACAAUGGGACUGAGACACGGCCCAUACUCCUACGGGAGGCAGCAGUGGGGAAUUUUACGCAAUGGGGGAAACCCUGACGUAGCGACACCGCGUGAGCGAAGAAGCCCCUUGGGGUGUAAAGCUCUGUCAGCUGGAACGAAACAAAUGACGGUACCAGCAGAGGAAGCAUCGGCUAACUACGUGCCAGCAGCCGCGGUAAGACGUAGGAUGCGAGCGUUGUCCGGAUUUAUUGGGCGUAAAGAGUUCGUAGGUGGUUUGUUAAGUUUGAUGUUAAAGAUCGGGGCUCAACCUCGGGACAGCAUUGAAUACUGGCAGACUUGAGUAUGGUAGAGGCUAGUGGAAUUCCCAGUGUAGCGGUGAAAUGCGUAGA